rnacentral:rRNA from 1 species
GACGAACGCUGGCGGCGUGCUUAACACAUGCAAGUCGAACGGAAAGGCCCUGCUUUUGUGGGGUGCUCGAGUGGCGAACGGGUGAGUAACACGUGAGUAACCUGCCCUUGACUUUGGGAUAACUUCAGGAAACUGGGGCUAUUACCGGAUAUGAGCUCCUGCUGCGUGGUGGGGGUUGGAAAGUUUCGGCGGUUGUGGAUGGACUCGCGGGUUAUCCGCUUCUUGGUGGGGUAGUUGCUUCCCAGGGCUUUGACGGGUAGCCGGCCUGAGAGGGUGAACGGCCACAUUGGGCCUGAGGUAGGGCCCAGACGCCUACGGGAGGCAACAGGGGGGAAUAUUGCACAAUGGGCGGAAGCCUGAUGCAGCAACGCCGCGUGCGGGAUGACGGCCUUCGGGUUGUAAACCGCUUUCGCCUGUGACGAAGAGUGAGUGACGGUAAUGGGUAAAGAAGCACCGGCUAACUACGUG